GCCCCCAUUUCUCGACAAAGGUUUCUUUUUUGCUGAAUUUCUGUACCAACGAUCAAUUCGUCUCGUGGCUCGGCCAUUGUCACAUUGGAAGCAGCAUGUCUGCGUGUCUUAACCAAGACCGGGACAUAGGAAUCUUAUUCUAUCACUGGUUCGCUGUUAAUGGGCUUGGUGUUAUAGGUUCAUCUCCCAAACCAUGAACUUCAAAAGGAGGAUUGGUGCAGUCAUAAGUUCUUUCCGAUGAUUCAUGUGUUGGGCAGUUUUGGCCUUGUUGGUCUCUUGUGGAGUACAUCUACUUGGCUUGCUUCAUUAAGAGGUCUCUUCUAGCAGGGCAGCGUGUCGCGUCUCCCACAGCGGGUGGUCUAUUGCUCUUUUAUUCCGCAGUUAGGUAGGAGUCAACACGGCCCUUCCUACCCGAAAGCUGAGUGAAAUCAGGGUUUCCUAUAUCAAACCUUUGAACUUCAUUAGAACGUGAAACUGAAGAAUGUCGUUGUGGCAUAUCUGCUGUGCAGUGGGUGCCAAUUAUGUUCCAACGAAUAUGCAGGCGAAUUUGUUUCACGAUUUGUGUCUUUCCCGUUGGAUGGGCUGUCGUUUCGUCGCAAGUCAAUGGGAGGAUUAGGCAUGGACAGGUACGUCGACCUGUAGGGCGAUUCGUUGUCGGGAGGCGACUGGGGCUUAUUCCAGUUGGCGUUUGGUGCUGAGCUGACGUUUCGGUUGGAUUUUCUAUGUCGUUUUUAAAUAUCCAGUUGUACACAUCCCUGCUGUCGAAAAUAAUAGUACGUAGUAUAUCCUUCGUCUUGUCUGGUACUGUAGACAUGGGGAGUGGAAAGCUACGCUACAUAUUUUGUCUCACUUAGUUAUGCUAAUUUGGGGGUAGUUAACAACUUUAUUUACUUUUAUAG